UAAAACACUGUUUCUCAUCCAAUCACAGCAGUUAAACAACGUAAAGCCUGGUCAGUACUUAGAUGGGUGACCACUUGGGAAUACCA